UUGUUGCUUGAAAACUGUGUUAAAAUAUAUGCAAGACGUUGGAUUUGAUCUAAAAAUAUGCCUUCUGCAGGGCAUGCCUGGAGCACCGGGAAUGAAAAUGUAUUCGAGAGAGGAACUAAUGAACAAUAUGAAUAUCGGUAAUGAAGAUGCCGAUGAUGAGGACGAUGAAGAUGCCGAUGAUGAGGACGAUGAAGAUGCUGCGGAACAACCAAAUUUCCCAAAGAAUCUGGUAACGACCCAUAAUGAAGUUCAAUACUAAUUGUAACAGUUGCUUCCCAAGAAGCUGGUGUUUGGAUUAACCUGGGAAGAGUCGAUGGUUGACAGGGCAAAGUUCUAAGAGAGAAAGAGAAGACGGGGGAAAAGGAGGACUGGAAGAAGAAGAUGACGAAACAAGUGGUGAGCACAGGUGAUACGCUAAAGAAGCAUGCACAAAGGGUGUCCAACAGA
rnacentral:lncRNA from 1 species